CUUCAAUGCCUUUCUCCAUAUCCAUAAAAUCAUAUGUAAACACUCAUGUUAUUUAUUGUUGGUGUUUUAUAAAAAUGGAUCAACUUAUAUUCUCUGCAUCUCACUAUUCUCACUUAGUAGUACAUUAUGGAAAUAGCUCCAAGUCAGCCAAUAUCAUAACAGAUUCUUUUAAUAAUGUUAAUAGACUUAAUUUUUUGGAGCAGUUUUAGGUUUUCAGAAAAAUUGAGUGGAAAGUACAGAGUUCCAUAUAUACAUGCCCCCUCCCGACCCCCAAGUUUCCUGUUACUAACAUUUUGCCUUCGUGUGAUAAUGUUAAAAUUGAUAAGCUGAUAUCAAUACAUUAUCAUUAACUUUAUUAUUAAAAACUAUACAUUACUGUAUACUUUCUAUUAGGGUUCAUUCUUUGUGUUGUAUAUUCUAUGAGUUUUGACAAAUGUGUAAUGACAUGCAUCCACCAUUACAGUAUCAAACGGAACAGUGUCACUGCCCUAAAAAUCCCCUGUGCUCUACCUCUCAUCUCUCCCCCACCCCCUAACCCUUGGCAACCACAGAUCUUGUUAUUGUCUCCAUAAUUUUGCCUUCUCAAAAAUAUCAUAUAGUUGGAAUCAUAUAGUAUGUAGCCUUUUCACAUUGGCUUCUUUCACUUAGCAGUAGGCAUUUAAGGUUCCUCCAUAUCUUUGUGUGUGUGUGUGUGUGUGUGUGUGUGUGUGUGUGUGUGCUUUUUAGGGAUGCACCCACGGCAUAUGGAAGUUCCCAGGCUAGGGGUCAAAUUGGAGUUGUAGCCGCUGGCCUACACCACAGCCACAGCAAUGCCAGAUCCGAGCUGCAUCUGAGACCUACACCACAGCUCAUGGCAACAUCAGAAUCUUAGGGUUCCUCCAUAUCUUGAUAGCUCAUUUCUUUUUGGUGCUAAAUAAUAUUCCAUUGUAUGGAUUUAUCAUACUUUGUUUAUCCAUUUACCUAUUGAAAAACAUCUUGGUUGCUUUCAAGUUUUGUCAGUUAUGAAUAAAUUCACUGUAAAUAUUCUUAUACAGGUUCUGGUGUAGUAGACAUAGUUUUCAGCUUCUAUGGGCAAAUACCAUGGAGCACUACUGCUGGAUCAUAUGGUGAGAGUAUUUUUAGUUUUAUAAGAAACUGCCCAACUGUGUUCCAAAGUGGCUGUAGCAUUUCACCUUCCCACCAGCAGUGAAUGAGUUCCUGUUGACUCAUCCUUGUCAGAAUUUGGUUUUGUUGGUGUUUUAGAUUUUGGCUAUUCUAGUAGAUACAAAAUGGUAUCUCUCUCUCUCUUUUUCUUUUACUUUUUAGGGUUGCGCCUCUGCAGCUCCAAUUUGACCCCUGGGCUGUGGCUUUAUAAAAAAAAAAGAAAAAGAAAAAGAAAAAGAAAGAAAGAAAAGAAAAGAGAAUCAAGGAACCAAGAGGGGAGAGAAUAUGGAGAAGGCAGGGAUAAUUUGCUGAACUACUGGCUUUGUUGGGCAUAGGGGUGGGAGGGCAGAAGUCAGUGACCGUGGGUUAGGUGGUCAGGAAGUGCAGACCAGAAUGAAUUCUGUCUCUUUCAACAAGGUUGGCUGGAACAGAAAGGAAAUAGGGCAAUAGGUAAGUUCAAAAGGGAGGUGGUUUUUUGGUUUGUUUGUAUUUUGUCUGCACCUGCGACAUGUAAAAGUUCCCUGGCCAGGGCUCGAAUCUGCGCCACAGCAGUAAAAAUGCAGGAUCCUUAACUUCUAGGCCACCGGGGAACUCUAAAAGGGAGAUAGAUUUUAAAGAUUGGAGUGUCAUGGAAAUAUAUAUACUCUGGAGGGAGAAGAUAUGGGGGAUGUUAGAGAAAAGCUGUCCAUUUAAAUUUGCACUACUUUGUCAUUUUGCAUGUGGAUUCUUAUCAUCAUGACUACCCAUCAUCCUCUUUUGCUUUUUUAUUUUUUUAAUUAUAUAUUUAUUUAUUUAUUUAAUGACCACACCCAUGAGAUAUGGAAGUUGCUGGGCCAGGGAUUGACUGAGCCACAGCUGUGGCAAGGCUGGAUCCUUUAACACACUGAACUGGGUUGGGGAUUGAACUCAUGCCUCCACAGAAACUUGGGCUGCUGCAGUCAGAUUCUUAACCCACUGUGCCAUAGCAGGAACUCCCUCUUUUGCUUUUUGAAUUCAUGGUUAUUUUCCUGCGUUAUUUUCCUUCCUUCCUCCCUCCCUCUCUCUGUCCUUUGAUCCUUCACUCUUUCCCCCUCUUUUUCUCUCCUCCUCUCUCCCCUUUUGAGCUUUUUGACAACUUGUCUGUUAAUGGGUUUCUUACCAUCCUGUUCUUUUGGAU
rnacentral:lncRNA from 1 species